UCCUUGGUGGUCCAGUAGCAAGGAUUCUGCACUCCUAAUGCAGAAGCCCAGGUUCAAUCCCUGGUCAGGGAA
rfam:Ovis aries breed Texel chromosome 3, whole genome shotgun sequence.